rnacentral:rRNA from 1 species
AAUAUUGGACAAUGGGCGCAAGCCUGAUCCAGCAAUGCCGCGUGAGUGAUGGAGGCCUUAUGGUUGUAAAGCUCUUUCACCGAUGAAGAUAAUGACGGUAGUCGGAUAAGAAGCCCCGGCUAACUUCCUUCCAGCAGCCGCGGUAAUACGAAGGGGGCUAGCGUUGUUCGGAUUUACUGGGCGUAAAGCGAACGUAGGCGGAUUGGUCAGUUAGAGGUGAAAUCCCGAAUCUCAACUUCGGAACUGCCUUUAAUACUGCCAGUCUCGAGUCCGAAAGAGGUAAGUGGAACUCCUAGUGUAGAGGUGGAAUUCGUAGAUAUUAGGAAGAACACCAGUGGCGAAGGCGGCUUACUGGUCCGGAACUGACGCUGAGGUGCGAAAGCGUGGGGAGCAAAC